rnacentral:rRNA from 1 species
AGGAUUCCCCUAGUAACUGCGAGUGAACCGGGAAAAGCUCAAAUUUUGAAUCUGGCGGUCCAAGGGCCGUCCGAGUUGUAAUCUAGAGAAGCGUCUUCCGCGCUGGACCGUGUAUAAGUUUCCUGGAAUGGAACGUCGUAGAGGGUGACAAUCCCGUCUUUGACACGGACUCCCAGUGCUAUGUGAUGCGCUCUCGACGAGUCGAGUUGUUUGGGAAUGCAGCUCAAAUAGGGUGGUAAAUUCCAUCUAAAGCUAAAUACAGGCGAGAGACCGAUAGCGAACAAGUACCGUGAGGGAAAGAUGAAAAGAACUUUGGAAAGAGAGUUAAACAGUACGUGAAAUUGCUGAAAGGGAAACGCUUGAUGUCAGUCGCAUCGUCCGGGGAUCAGCCUCGCUCUUUUGCUCGGCGUACUUCCUGGUCGAUGGGUCAGCAUCGGUUUCGACCGUCGGAAAAUGGCUCGAGGAACGUGGCACUCUUCGGGGUGUGUUAUAGCCUCGAGUCGAAUACGACGGUCGGGACCGAGGAACUCAGCACGACCUUCGGGUUCGGGGCUUCGGCUCACGUUCGCGUGCUUAGGAUGC